GCUGCUCCUUCGUACCCUAGCUUCUGGCUAUAAAAGGCUCAUCUCCUCCCAUGUACAGGAGGGAGAGGCGCACACGGGUUGGCCGCCGCCAGGCUGCUCGCAUGCAUGGAGACCUGAACAUGCAACUCCCGCAUAGUCCCUGAUGGUGAAGCCCUACUAUCCUUACCCUGCUAAUCACCAAAAUCUCGUAGUAUACGUUGCCUCCCGGCGGCCGCGUCGACACGGCCAUGUGCUCUAAUGGUGGUUGCCUCAAGUUAAAAGAUCGGUUUACACCGAAUCCAUUUGUUGCCUCGGGUUGUUUUAGAUUGGUUUACCAAUCCAGUCGUGGCAUGUAAUAAAUAUUUGAUAGGCAGAUCAACCAGUGCAUGGUUUGGAUUCGGAUCGCUUCCAUAACAGAUCGUUUCCGUAUAAAAAUAUUUGGAGGCAAAUUGCUGGUGCUGGAUUUGGAUUCGGAUCGCUUUCAUAGUUGAUCGUUUCUGUACAGAAAUGUUUGAGAAGAAAUAUUUGGUUUCGGAUCGCCCUAGUGCUGAUCGUUUCCACGUAGAAGUAUUUGAGGAGCUUGAGUCAGAUUCGGAUCGCCAUUGCAGAUUGUUUUCCUUUUAGAAAAUUUUGUGAGGAAAAUCA